rnacentral:rRNA from 1 species
GUAGUCUGCAACUCGACUACAUGAAGCUGGAAUCGCUAGUAAUCGCGGAUCAGAAUGCCGCGGUGAAUACGUUCCCGGGUCUUGUACACACCGCCCGUCACACCAUGGGAGUCGAUAACGCCCGAAGUCAGUGACCCAACCUGUAAGGAGGGAGCUGCCGAAGGCGGGAUUGAUAACUGGGGUGAAGUCGUAACAAGGUAUC